rnacentral:rRNA from 1 species
CAUUCGAGUGGCGGACGGGUGAGUAACGCGUGGGUAACCUGCCUUACACAGGGGGAUAACACCUGGAAACAGGUGCUAAUACCGCAUAAGCGCACAGGGCCCGCAUGGCCCGGUGUGAAAAACUCCGGUGGUGUAAGAUGGACCCGCGUCUGAUUAGCUUGUUGGCGGGGUAGGGGCCCACCAAGGCGACGAUCAGUAGCCGGCCUGAGAGGGUGGACGGCCACAUUGGGACUGAGACACGGCCCAAACUCCUACGGAAGGCAGCAG